AACAAGGUCUCCGUUGGUGAACCAGCGGAGGGAUCAUUACCGAGUUUACAACUCCCAAACCCCUGUGAACAUACCUUAAUGUUGCCUCGGCGGAUCAGCCCGCGCCCCGUAAAACGGGACGGCCCGCCAGAGGACCCAAACUCUAAUGUUUCUUAUUGUAACUUCUGAGUAAAACAAACAAAUAAAUCAAAACUUUCAACAACGGAUCUCUUGGUUCUGGCAUCGAUGAAGAACGCAGCAAAAUGCGAUAAGUAAUGUGAAUUGCAGAAUUCAGUGAAUCAUCGAAUCUUUGAACGCACAUUGCGCCCGCUGGUAUUCCGGCGGGCAUGCCUGUUCGAGCGUCAUUUCAACCCUCAAGCCCCCGGGUUUGGUGUUGGGGAUCGGCUCUGCCUUCUGGCGGUGCCGCCCCCGAAAUACAUUGGCGGUCUCGCUGCAGCCUCCAUUGCGUAGUAGCUAACACCUCGCAACUGGAACGCGGCGCGGCCAUGCCGUAAAACCCCAACUUCUGAAUGUUGACCUCGGAUCAGGUAGGAAUACCCGCUGAACUUAAGCAUA
rnacentral:rRNA from 1 species